AAAUUUAUCGGGCCGAUCAAAACACGGGAAGUGGGCUUGUGGGCCUUGGGCCCAAGCCCACUAACCAAACCUAAUUAUAAAAAAUGGACGAAACCCUAAUCUUCUUUGUAACAGCCGUACAUAUUGUUUCCCUUUGUUUUCUUUGGUUUGUUGCUAGUCCAAGAACACAUACAGACAAUUCAUGUCUGAUACUUCCUUGAAACAUCAUCAUCUCCAACUAAAUAAGAAGCUCAUCAUCAUCAUUAUCAUCAUCGUCCUACAAAUCUCACAACAACACCCAUAGCUCCACAAGCCAUUACCUCUUUCAUCUUUCUUGAAGGAAACCCUAAACACCCGCACGACCUUCCCUUUUCUCAAAUCGACGAGGACCGGCGACAGGUCCGGUGAGACCCUCAGCCAAUUCCGGCGACCACCACCGCCUGGUGGCGGCGGCACAUGAUGGCGACAGGUCGAGAUGAGAGAGAGAACGGACAGAGAGAGAGGCCAGACGCUCGAGAUGAGAGAGAUAGAGAGAGAGAAAGAUCGGAGGCAAGGAGCGACGACGACAGUGACUGUCGGACCACGGCGGCGACGGUUCAGGUUUUGAUUCAGGUCACGGAGCGGCGGAGACGACGGCGGAGACAAGCUCCGGCCGUCGGAAACUGCCAGCGACUCUGGUUCGGUCUCGGGUGCAGCCUUGGUUCAGAUUUGAGUCCGCGUUCAGUUUCGAGUCUCGGGAUUCGGGUUUGUUUGGAACUUGGGCAGCCACGGUUAGGUUGGUUCAUUCCGGUUCGGGCCCGUCUAAGUUUGGUUCGGGUUCACGUCAAAACUCAUCAGAUUCGGAUCCGGUUCAGCUUCGGCUCAUGUUCAGUUGGGCCAGUUUCUGUUUCGGGUCAAACUUGGCUAACCUUCGGUCAAGCAGGGUCAACUAGUCAAACACGAGGUUGGGGUGACCUCGGUGUUCCAUCCUUCUAAACUCGUACACUCGUCGACACUUGGAUAAUCGGAAGACUUAGCAAUUAUGUUGAUGAGGAUGAUGCUAAGAAAAGAAGUAGCGUUGAUGCCUAGAUACACAUAUAG